GAGGGUCUCCACGUAAGUUUAAAAUGCUUAUAGAAUGUGUUAUUAUAACUAAGUCAAUCUAAGAAGGAAUAUAUUUGCGCAGAACAUUUGGAAACAGAGGCACAGGACCUGUUCGCACCAGCAGGAAUCACACCAAAUAAUUGCAAAGGACGCAACCUCCUCACACUGGGGUUGAAGUCCUGGAACAGGCCCCGCAGAUUCAUGGCAGCACAACGCCGCUACGCCCGCGCUCUACCAGGCGCGCAUGGCCCGCCGCCGCCGCUUGGCUUGGC
rnacentral:lncRNA from 1 species